rnacentral:rRNA from 1 species
GGCCAGCAGCCGCGGUAAUACGGAGGAUGCAAGCGUUAUCCGGAAUGAUUGGGCGUAAAGGGUCCGCAGGUGGUACUGUAAGUCUGCUGUUAAAGAGUCUAGCUCAACUAGAUAAAAGCAGUGGAAACUACAGAACUAGAGUGCGUUCGGGGCAGAAGGAAUUCCUGGUGUAGCGGUGAAAUGCGUAGAUAUCAGGAAGAACACCGGUGGCGAAAGCGUUCUGCUAGGCCGCAACUGACACUGAGGGACGAAAGCUAGGGGAGCGAAUGGGAUUAGAUACCCCAGUAGUCCUAGCCGUAAACGAUGGAUACUAGGCGUGGCUUGUAUCGACCCGAGCCGUGCCGGAGCUAACGCGUUAAGUAUCCCGCCUGGGGAGUACGCACGCAAGUGUGAAACUUAAAGGAAUUGGCGGGGGAC